CCUCUCUGUCGCAGCUACCGCCCCUCCCUCCAUCGAAGGGAUCGAGUGGAGAGUCACGGCCCCGUCCUUUCUGUCGCAGCUCCCUCCCCUCCAUCACGGGGAUCGCCGGCAGAAUCACUGACCCGCCCCCAUGGUGGUGGGAACCAGGGACUCGUCAGAUUCCAGCAGCAGCUGGCGGUCGUGAGGGCCGGUGCUCGGAUGCCCCAUCAUCAGAGCCAGUUUGGAUUCGAUGGUCAUGCAAGCCCGCAGCAUUACGCUGCUAUGGCGCAUGGGGUUGAUUCCUACGACUUGGCGGCUCGUCAUCCGGUACAAGGUGGAUCUACUCAGUAGAUGUUGUUUCAUUAAGCAAGAUGACACUCACGAUCUCAACUCAAGAAGCUGCGGAUAGUGAUGCUUAUUGCUUUCUUCAUUUUUUCUUAAUUUUUUUCUUCCCCUAUAUAAGGUGGGUCUUGAUGUUGUACAAAUGAAAUUAAUAUACAGUGUGUGAAUAUAAACUUGGCAUUUGCAGUGUU